AGAGUUUGAUCAUGGCUCAGAUUGAACGCUGGCGGAAUGCUUUACACAUGCAAGUCGAACGGCAGCACGGGUGCUUGCACCUGGUGGCGAGUGGCGAACGGGUGAGUAAUGCGUCGGAACGUGCCGAGUAAUGGGGGAUAACGCAGCGAAAGCUGUGCUAAUACCGCAUACGCCCUGAGGGGGAAAGUGGGGGAUCGCAAGCCUCACGUUAUUCGAGCGGCCGACGUCUGAUUAGCUAGUUGGUGGGGUAAAGGCCUACCAAGGCGACGAUCAGUAGCGGGUCUGAGAGGAUGAUCCGCCACACUGGGACUGAGACACGGCCCAGACUCCUACGGGAGGCAGCAGUGGGGAAUUUUGGACAAUGGGGGCAACCCUGAUCCAGCCAUUCCGCGUGAGUGAAGAAGGCCUUCGGGUUGUAAAGCUCUUUCAGCCGGAACGAAACGGUAGAGGCUAAUACUCUCUGCUAAUGACGGUACCGGCAGAAGAAGCACCGGCUAACUACGUGCCAGCAGCCGCGGUAAUACGUAGGGUGCGAGCGUUAAUCGGAAUUACUGGGCGUAAAGCGUGCGCAGGCGGAUUGUUAAGCAAGAUGUGAAAGCCCCGGGCUUAACCUGGGAAUGGCAUUUUGAACUGGCAGUCUAGAGUGCGUCAGAGGGGGGUGGAAUUCCACGUGUAGCAGUGAAAUGCGUAGAGAUGUGGAGGAACACCGAUGGCGAAGGCAGCCCCCUGGGAUGACACUGACGCUCAUGUACGAAAGCGUGGGUAGCAAACAGGAUUAGAUACCCUAGUAGUCC
rnacentral:rRNA from 1 species